GUAGGCUACGGACAGUCCUUGUUUGUGUGAGACAUAUUAAGGAAUCUGCCCGGAGUUUUACGUCGGCUCAGAAGAACAUGCCAAGACGCAGGAGACUGUUCACCGGCCGAGCAUCGCUGGUCCCUCCGCCCGCCCGAACGGGCCCGUUUUAGGCGGGGGCCGCCGGUCGGGAACAGUGGGGACUAGUGGCUGCGGUUCGGUGCCAGCUGCACUGGGUCGGAGGUGGUUCUGGUCUGCAAUUCAUGACGUGAAUUCAUGCAACAUGCUGUUUACAGUCAUAACGCUUUUUCUUUACUUUUAUUUCUUCCAGGGGGUCAAAAACCCACCAUCAACAUCAAGGUUUGAAAUAAACAACACUUUCUCUGCUGCUUUUAAGCUGAAUAAAUCUCUUGAGCCUAUGGUUAACCUCUCUGACAAACAGGUUGUGCUUAACCCUUUGUUUCCUAAUGCUUCUCCUCUGUCAUCCAUGUUAAAGGCUGAACAUCUCUCCAGCAUGGGUGUGAAAUCUUCAGGCUGUGACCCACCGCUUCAGUCAGAGGUCUGUUUUACUCGUCAGUCCGCCUCAUGCACAAACCAGCUUCUUUAUCGGGGCGUGAUGGAAACGUCAGCCGCCGUGAAACACUUGUGGUCUCCGGACGGAGCUACCAUGCCAUUUAAGGGGUUUGUGCCCGGACAUCUUGACCUUUAUGUGAAUGACCUUGUCACUUUUCAGUUUGUGACCUCUGCUAAUACGGUGGCCAAUUCUUUUCUCCUUUCACAGGGGUGUGACUUAGUCUCGGGCCUCUGUGCUCUCUUUCCUGUGAUUUCUCUUACAGGUGACCACGACGACACAGAAAACCCUGCGGUUUCCAGCAGUCCUGUGGUCAGUGGCGAUAUUAAAGGUGCGUGCAGUGAUGCUCUGCUCGGGGCCCCUCCUGACAAAGGGGGGGUGCUGAGUGGCUCUGAGUUUUCCGUUGCGGACUUCAACCGGUUCGGGGGAACGCCUCCUCCGAGCGGGCGGGUCAUUGCAGAAAUCGACACUGACCUUCCACCAAUUCAGCUGACAACAUUGACCUCCGACCCGGAGUUAGGUGCUGCACCUUCUACGGGGCGGAGUUCUAGUCAGUCUGUAAAUACUCUGGUUAAACCGGGUUUUUCUGAUUCAGUGUGGGAACCUCCAUCAUUCUUGGGAAUAAAGUAUUCUUGGCUUCAGUUUUCAGGACAGAUUGCAUAUAAAAAAAUCAUCAAGUGUUAG
rnacentral:lncRNA from 1 species